UUUUUUUAAUAGGUGACGUUCCUCUCGCGCUUCCUUGACAUUUCACCAAUCCUUGCAUGCCCACGCACCAGCCCCAUCAUUUUCAAAGCAUGCCUUGCACUAAUUCCACCCUCAUCCACCCCCUAAACCCAGAUUAACGUAGAUGGCUCAUUCCUUUUCACAUUAAUUUUAGAUUUAUUUGUGAUUAAAUUACUGGGUGACCAUCAAAUCUUCCUUCCUUGCCUUCUCUCAUUUCCUGACCAACAUCCUCAAUCCCUUACAAAAUUUCAAGGGGUGCCUUGGCCUGUUUUUCCCACUCGGCAUGUCGUCCACCGUUUUCUCCUUCGCUCGUCUCCUGUUUGAAUCACUUUUAAUUAUUAUUUUUUUAAUAGGUGACGUUCCUCUGGCCCUUCUUUGGUCUUUCAGCAAGCCAUGCAAGCCCACCGAGCAGCAACAUCAUUUGCAAAGCGUGCCCCACUUUCAAUCCACCCUCAACAACCCACGCACAUCGAGUAAAGCAGCCGGCUUAAUAUUUUUGUGACGUCCCUCUGGCCCUUCUUUGGUCUUUCAGCAAGCCAUGCAAGCCCACCGAGCAGCAACAUCAUUUGCAAAGCGUGCCUCACUUUCAAUCCACCCUCAACAACCCACGCACAUCGAGUAAAGCAGCCGGCUUAAUAUUUUUGUGACGUCCCUCUGGCCCUUCUUUGGUCUUUUAGCAAGCCAUGCAAGCCCACCGAGCAGCAACAUCAUUUGCAAAGCGUGCCUCACUUUCAAUCCACCCUCAACAACCCACGCACAUCGAGUAAAGCAGCCGGCUUAAUAUUUUUGUAAGUAAAUUUUAUAUUUAUUUUCUAUUUAAUUUCUAAGUGACCUUCAACUCUCCCAUCUUUGCCUUCUCUCUCUUCCUGACCAACAUCCUCAAUCCCUUACAAAAUUUCAAGGGGUGCCUUGGCCUUUUUGACCCUCAAGGCGCUACGUCCGUUAUUUACACUUUAGCAUGAACUAUGCUGAAAUCACUUUUAAUUUUUAUUUUUUUAAUAGGUGACGUUCCUCGUUUCCUUGACAUUUCACCAAUCCUUGCAUGCCCACACACCAGCCCCAUCAUUUUCAAAGCAUGCCUUGCACUAAUUCCACCCUCAUCCACCCCCUUAACCCAGAUUAACGUAGAUGGCUCAUUCCUUUUCACAUUAAUUUUAGAUUUAUUUGGGAUUAAAUUACUGAUUUACCUUCAACUCUCCCAUCUUAGCCUUCUCUCUCUUCCUGACCAACAUCCUCAAUCCCUUACAAAAUUUCAAGGGGUGCCUUGGCCUUUUUGACCCUCAAGGCGCUACGUCCGUUAUUUACGCUUUAGCAUGAACUAUGCUGAAAUCACUUUUAAUUUUUAUUUUUUUAAUAGGUGACGUUCCUCUCGCGCGUCCUUGACAUUUCACCAAUCCUUGCAUGCCCACGCA